GUCUCAGCUUAGCAGCCCAGUGGUGACGCGACGCCCCGCCCCUCCGGCGCGCGCGCGCCUCCCGGAAGUUGCCUACUGGGAUUCUAAACGCCGCCUCCGCGAGGUCUCCGCCUUGAGUUGCCAAGUAGAGUCUGGGCCGUAGCGCCACUGCUGCGAGUGUCGGGCCGGGGGGCUCGGGCUGCAGUGCAGGUUCACGAGCGCAGCGCCGGCAGUGACCUGGUGACCAUGGCGGCGCCGCAGCCCUUGGCUCUGCAGCUGGAACAGUUGCUGAAUCCGAGACCGCGUGAGGCGGAUCCUGAGGCCGACCCGGAGGAGGCCACUAGAGCCAGAGUGAUUGACAGGUUUGAUGAAGGGGAAGAGGAGAAAGAUGAUCUGGCAGUGAGUAGCAUUAGAAAGUUGGCACCAGUCUCCCUCUUGGACACCGACAAAAGGUAUUCUGGCAAGACCACUUCUAGGAAAGCUUGGAAAGAAGACCAUUGGGAGCAGGCUCUGCCAAGUUCAUCUGAUAACGAAGCAUCUGAUGAGGGAGGAUCUGAAGAUGGGGAUUCAGAGGGCCUGGGCCUGGAGGAGAUCUCAGAAGAUGUUGACGAAGACUUAGAAGACAACAAAAUAUCUGAUGAGGGAGGAUCUGAAGAUGGGGAUUCAGAGGGCCUGGGCCUGGAAGAGUUCUCAGAAGAUGUUGAGGAGGACUUAGAAGGUGAGGAUGAGGAAGACAGAGAAGAAGACAGGAACAGUGAAGAUGAUGGUGUGGUGGCAGCCUUCUCCAGUGUCAAAGUUUCUGAGGAAGUGGAAAAAGGAAGAGCUGUGAAGAAUCAGAUAGCAUUGUGGGACCAGCUCUUGGAAGGAAGGAUCAAGCUACAAAAAGCUCUCUUGACUACCAAUCAGUUGCCUCAACCAGAUGUUUUCCCUGUCUUCAAGGACAAAGGUGGCCCAGAAUUUGCCAGUGCUCUGAAAAAUAGUCACAAAGCACUUAAAGCCUUGUUAAGGUCAUUGGUGGAUCUUCAGGAAGAGUUGCUUUUCCAGUACCCAGACACGAGACAUAUAGUAAAUGGGGCGAAACCCAAUACAGAGAGUGAGGAGAUUUCCAGUGAAGAUGAUGAGCUAGUGGGAGAGAAGAAGAAACAACGAAAGGCCCCACCCAAGAGGAAGCUAGAGAUGGAGGACUAUCCCAGCUUCAUGGCAAAGCGCUUUGCUGACUUCACCAUCUAUAGGAAUCACACACUACAGAAAUGGCAUGAUAAAACCAAGCUUGCUUCUGGAAAACUGGGCAAGGGUUUUGGUGCCUUCGAACGCUCGAUCUUGACUCAGAUCGAUCAUAUCAUGAUGGACAAAGAAAGAUUGCUUCGGAGGACACAGACCAAGCGCUCUGCCUACCGAGUUCUUGGCAAACCGGAGCCAGUCCCUGAGCCUGUUGCAGAGACCUUGCCAGGAGAACCAGAGACGCUUCCUCAGGGCCCUGCCAAUGCCCACCUGAGGGACUUGGAUGAGGAGAUAUUUGAUGAUGAUGACUUUUACCACCAGCUCCUUCGAGAACUCAUAGAGCGGAAAACCAGCUCUUUGGAUCCAAAUGAUCAGGUGGCCAUGGGAAGGCAGUGGCUUGCAAUCCAGAAACUACGAAGCAAAAUCCGCAAGAAGGUAGAUAGAAAAGCCAGCAAAGGAAGGAAACUUCGGUUCCAUGUCCUUAGCAAGCUCCUGAGUUUCAUGGCACCUAUUGACCACACCGCAAUGAGUGAUGAUGCCAGGUUGUCAGGUGAAAGGCGGUCUCUCCUGGUGAUUUCUGCCCUACGCUGACUUUGUGGACCCAGCUGCUUCUUUGAGGCUCUCCUCCCUAACUGUGCUGUCAGGAACUCCUGUGCUCUUGCUGUUUUGUUCCCAGAGGCUGCUCCCCAACAGUGGUGAGCUGACCAGCAGGGAAAUGGCAGUGAGGGACAUGAUCAUCUCCACCCUGUUGUGAUCAUCAGUGGAUGGCACUGAGGGACGGUGUCCUUCUACUCACUGAGCAUCGUGUCAGACCAGCAUCAGCCUUCAUCAGAAGGCAGUGGGAUAGUUGACAUUAUCUACAGUUUGUGAUUAAAAUUCUAAGUCAUGGAGUAAUUAAAUAACUUGCUCAAGUUAAAAGUUGUAAAGUAGAGCGUCUCAGAGUGUAGCUGCUAACCGCUGCUGCUGCUGCUGCUGCUGCUGCUGCUGCUGCUGCUGCGCUGCAGAGUCUGUGGGAAUAAUGCAGUAUCUCAACCAAAGAGAAAGCAUUAGUUUGCCCAGAGUAAAUCUUUUCUCUUCUGUAAAGGGACAUUUUCUAUAUAGGAAAGCUGUGCUACUGACUGUUAACAUUUUAGUAUGAAUCACCGAAUUUCCCAAACCUGCCCUGUGGUUAUUCUGCCUGGUGCUGGUGCCAAGGCCUAGACCAUACAGUGGAUACGAUACUAGGGAUCUCUGGUACCCAGCCUUGGUUUAGGGGGUGUUUGAGUCAUUUUUACUUGGAUGAACCUAGGGGAAAGACCGAAUAUCACUAAUUUUUCUACUGUUUCUUGAAUUUUGUGUUCUGUUGGUUUCUCUCUUGACCAUAUUGGCUGUGGUUUUUAUACCAGAUUGGGUUUCUGCUUGCCUCCUACAAACUGCUGGUCAUUGUGGAAACAGGCUCUGGUGAAUAGUAAAAGCUAUGGCUGCUUUUAGAAUUGUCUCACUAAAAAAUAAACUGUAGAAUGCAUUUGUUUGCAUAUCACUGAAGACAUAAUAAACCUGGACAGCUCCUGUUAUUUUUAUGUUGUCAUGAAAAGGAAACAUAAGAGAAGGGGCAUCUAUGUCCAGGAAGGUGUCACUAAGCACUCCUGGGGUGAGGCCCUGAAUGAGCCACAGCUGCACCUUGUGUCCUAUCCAUGGCUUCCCUCUGGGAAGCAGAGCACUUUAUAAACAUUAACUCUUUUUACCCUCUAGGCACCUCCACUUAAAAGGUAAAUAAGGCUGAAGGUUCUUUCUUCUCCAGUAUAGAUGAGGAACGCCAUCCAGGGAGAGAAAUGGGUUGAACAGAGGCUGGCUAGGUAGGGUCUAGAUGGGGCCCUGGUGUUGUCCUGGGCAGUUCUCCUCUCUGCUUCUUAGGGCAGUGGGGGCUGGGCCUUUGUGUGGAGUGUGAAAUGCUGCAGAGACGAGCAAUUGUUCUUCAAUGCUUUGUGCUCUUUCAUAAGAAAGGAGAAAUCAAUACACAUUUUCUCAUACACGCACAUGGCAGCCAUCCGCCUCUCCUGCAGCUCGAUCCUGCAGGAGGAGAUACAGCUAUGCAAGCCAACAGGACACACCGGCUUCCAAGAGAAGACAUGAAAAUUCCUCAUCCUACAUUUAGCAGUAAGCUCCCUAAAGCUAGUCAUAAAACCAGCUGAGGCCAGCACAUGGCUGACUGCAGGACCAGUCACUUCAACCGGAGGGAAGACUAUGCUGUAAGGUGGAGGGUUCUUUGAAUGUGUUCUGACAGGAGGUAUUCCUAGCAUAGACUCUGUUCAGAAUCUGGUUUAUGGAGAAGUUCUUUGAGGGAUACGGUUCGAAAGUAAAAAGAUGAAGGCAGCAAUUUUUACCUUUUCAAAUUGUAUCUGCAUUAUUGUACAGAUAGUCAUAGAUCCAGGCAUAGCAGUUUAUGCCCAUAAAAUAUCAGUAGUAUUCUAGAGGCUGAGGCAGGAAAAUCACUAUAAAUUUAGUGAAUUUAUAGUAAAGGCCAGUCUGAACUACAUAAUGUGUUCCAGGACAGUUUGGACUGUACAGGUGGUCCUAUCUCAAGUUAGUCUUGUUUUAUUAUUGUAAAAGAUGUCAUUGAUCCCUGGAAUUCAGUUACAGUUUCUGCCACCAAACAAUCCAGAGUAGGGUAUGAGUUUUGCCACUGUAAACAGAAAGAUGGUGUCAGUUAACAGAACAGCUUUGCAUGGCAAGAAGGAAUGCAGUUGCUUCUCUCCAGGGUGGUGGCUCUGGAGACUGUGAGUACACUUCACACAGCAGAGGCCGAGAGUGGAAGCAGGUGAGUUAUCCAGAUGCAAGAGGAAGGCUGAGAGUGGAGAGUGGAGGAGGAACCAAAAGACAGGCAAAGCAAGAUGUUCAUUCAUGGAGCCUGGCCGAGUGGGCCCCAGGCAUCAUGGCAGCAGCACCAGUGUGAACACCUUGGUGUGAAUGCCAGUGUGAAUGCCUGGGUACCAGCUUCAUUCACCUCCCCUGAUACUGAGGAAGUGAGUCACAUCCAAGCGGUGAAGCACCCCUGGCUCAUCAUAAGAGCCAUGGAAGGGGCAGCUGUUUGAACAGGAGCUUCAUCUUGCUGAAGCCAGCAGUCAUGAAACCAUAAACAGAACAGCGGCCAACUCUAUUGCCAGGAUCACGGUGGCCUGAUGUUAAUAUUAAACAUCCCAGCAAGGCAGAAUGCCUUGUGCCUAGCUCCAGAAUAAAAAUAAAUAAAAAUAAGAGCAAACCCGCAAACCUUGAUUAAAAAAACAAAACAAAACAAAACAAAACAGUGAGGUGAUUUGUUGUCUUUCCUUUGUGAGGCCAUUUGUCUUCUCUCACAUCAAAUCUGUUAUAAAACAGUCAAACUGUGAAAGUAGAAAUCAUCCCAGGAAUAUGGAAUAUUAACACACAGGCGCAGCAAGAAGCAGGUCUCCUUUUGUCUGAAGACACCCCGACCCCAACAAAUCUAAUAAGGUAAAUUAUUUUUCUUUAAAAGGAUGUGAAAGCUAGUAGGAGGAAUAGUAGAAGUUUUGAGUAUUUUCUGUCUUUGUUAGUGUGGAGUGAAUCUAUAAGGAGAAAGCCUUAACAAAUUCCCACCUUGUCCCUCUUCCCUCCUCUCCUCUCCUCAUCUUUUCAGAUCUUUUGUUUGGGGCCUGACCUGCUUCUUUAAACAUUUAUAAAUCUUGAGUCUGUCUGAUCUUUAGGUGACAGGCCAGAGGCCACGUCACCAACUGUAAUUUAGAGCUGUGGGGCUAAAGGCAUCUGCAGGGGUUUGAAGGACCCAGUUCUGACCUGACUGAGGGAGCACACUGGAACAGCCCUCCUCAAGUCUCCUUCAAGCUCUGGGAGGGUGCUGAUGAGAGCAGACAGCCUGGGUAAUUUAUGGGCUCCUGGUCCCCUUUGAAAUGAGUCAUAUACUGCCACCUUGUGGUAAAUUGGCACAUCUGCAAUUUGCUGUCUGGGAUCAUUUUGUAUCCAGACCCUGAUGAUUAGUGAUACUAGAGAGAUUCUCUGGGUCACUUAGUACUUUGCUAGCUUGAUCCCACUAAAUAGUUUUCAGGAAUUUUUUUAAGGGAAAAAAAAGACACACAGAAGUUGGUCUGUGGGAAGCUGCCCUAUUCUUUUUGCUAUUCCCUUUGUCUUAUGGUGUGUAGGUGUGUGUGUCUGUGUGCCUUCGUUUCUGGUUUGGGUUUGGCUUGGUAUGAAAUCUGGGAAGAUCAGAAAGGAAGUCUUUGAGCCACUUCUGCUGGUAGGAGAAAAGGGGAGUCUAUUGACUUCCUUAGCUGUGUGCAGAAGUUAUAUAUAAGCUUUCUGCCCUGUGAGUUGUGUUAUUGAGAGCCAACCGUGAGGUGUGUCAAGAUGGCCACUUGUCCUUCAUACCUCUGUGAAGGAGACACGGCUUUGUGUUCUAGCAAUAGCAUUUAUGGAGGAUGCAGUAGUUUCGCUGCUGAAGAAGCUGCCAUUUUCUCGGCCAGAAUGGGAGCUAGCUCUGACAACAGGUUGCAGCGAUUGUGCACCAUUACAACUGCUACUGCUGUGCUUGCUUUUCUGUUUGGAUAUUUAAGACAGCAGGCUGAUGUCUCAUGAUUUUUUUUUUUGUAUCUACAGAAAAAAAGCAAUUGUGCAUAUCCGUUGCCCUCUGGCUCACUCUGCUUUCUGAUAGAAUACAGGUGAUUUACUGGAAGGGAUUCUCUGUUUAGUGCCAUUGGCACCUUCCAGUACGUAUUUAGAAUGCCAGAGCCUAUUAAUAGAGUAGAAGAGAGCAGAACUCUGAAGGUAAGGGAUGUCUGUGUUCAGAAGGUAGGAGGUUAGCCCAGGAUGUGACUCAGUGUUACAGUGCUUGCCUGAGGUAUAGAGGGCCCUGAUAUGUUCCUGGCUUAUGCACACAAAUGUGUCGAUGGAGUCCUCUGUUCACUCCAUCUGGACUACACCAGCAAUGCUGUAGUCGACACAGUGCUGGGAUUGGCACAGAAGGUCUGAAGGCCUUACCUGGAGAGGCAAAUUAUAGGCCUUGGGUUCAGCAUACUGCCAGGAAGAUUUGCAGAGGCAGUGGAGAGAACUGUGGAACUGUUAGUCUGCCAUGGGGCACUGCCAUUCACUUUCCUUCUGUCCUGGCCAGUGGGUUAGUCAUAGAACGGCAGAGUUCAGUCCCUGUGGGCCUCUCUUAGGUGGAAUAGUUGUCUGGACAGGUGACUGAAUGUAGUUGCCUUUCUCUUCUUUUUUUUUUUUUAAGAUUUAUUUAUUAUUAUACAUAAGUACACUGUAGCUGUCUUCAGAUGUGUCAGAAGAGGGCAUCAGAUCUCAUUAUGGGUGGUUGUGAGCCACCAUGUGGUUGCUGGGAUUUGAACUCAGGACCUUUGGAAGAGCGGUCAAGUGCUCCUAUCCGCUGAGCCACCUCACCAGCCCUGUGGUUGUCUUUCUCAUCUGACUUCUCUGAUAUUCCCUGGUGUCUUUGUUGUUGUUGUUGAUUUGUUUUUGUUUUUUAGGAUUUUAAAAACGUGUAUAAAAUAAAAAAUGUGAAUCUGCACAUGUGAGUGCAGGUACCUGCAGAGGCCAGAAGAGAGUGUAAGAUUCGCUGAAGCUGAGUUUGUAGGCAGUUGUGAGCCACCCAAAGUGCGUGCUGGAAAGUAAGGUUGGAUUGUCUGUGAGAGCCGUAUGCACUCCUAACAGCCACUGUCUCUCCAGCCUCCUGCUGUGUCUCUGUAAUCCUCAACAGUAACUAGUAAGGUUCAGGCUGGCAUUCAAACACUAAUUUAUCAUACUGCGUGCUGUAUUUGAGUCCAAGGAUUAUCCAUGUCUGUAUGUGUUUAUAAGCAUCCAAAAAUACUAAGUAAAUUGUUUUCAGAACACAAUAAUGAAAGGCAUUGUUAGUGAUGCUGUGUUUGGUCAGGGUACCAUCAGCACAGUGCACUUGUCUACACAAGCAACCAAUGCGCUUGUCUACACAAGUAGUCCCCACCGUGUCUGCUUGGAGCCUUCUUGCAAGGUUUUAAACGAUCUGGACUUUGCUCAUCAUGACACUGGGGGAGUUAAAGUUGUUAGUCUUCUGCCUGUGUGCGCUAUCACUGUCCCUGCUUCUUAAAUGCAUGUAGAGGGGCACAGGCUGCCACACGGUAGUGUGUAGUGUAGGGUCUGCAGUGUGCAGAGGGGAAUGAAAGGUGGUCAGAGUGCUUUCCAGAUGUGUCGUGGGUGUUAGGGUUGUCCGAACCCUGGAGAAGCGACAAAGGAGCAACUUUCACAUUAAUCAGAGGCAGUUAUGUAUGUAGGUUUGCAACUGUCUUUCUCUUCUCUCCUUCCUUCUUUCCUCUUGCUCUAUAGCCCAGGCUGGCCUGGAACUUGGGUUCCAUUUACCCUAGCCUCCCGAGUGCUUAGAUCAUAGCAUAGGUAUGUGCCACUGUGCCUGGUGCACAUUGUGCCCUUACUCAGACUGCUUUGUUGAAGGAUGCAUUUGGAGGACACGAGGUUCUCACUUAUAGAGAGACCUUGAUGUGUUUUAGAUGGUGGACAGGUUUUUCUGGGGAUCUGUGGGUCAGCUGCUUUCUUUGUGCUGCCCACAAGAGCAUGUAGGGGGUUGGGGUACCUUGGAGCUUGGGGUUUCCAGGCCAGAGUAAGACGAGCAUGGUCUUCCAGAAAGCAGAUAGGAGAAUUCAGAUCCAGAUGCCGCAAACUACUGACCUAGCAAAUUGAAAGCCCCACACAGGCCAUUUGCAGGUUUAAUAAGCUGCGUUCUACUAUUUGCCCAAAUAGCAUGAAAGACAAUGAUGUGUGCUGCAGUCCUGUGAGGAGUGCACACCAUAUACUCAAGGCCGUGGAAGUCCUAUUCACCAGUGCUGCUUGCAUGCCUCCCUUUAGAACACACGCAGGAAGACACACCCUUGUUCACACAUGCACAUGUGCACAUACACUCUGCCUCUAUGGAAAAUGGCUGCUACCUCAUGAGCGUUUUUUCCCAGUAACAAGGUUUAUGAUAAUAUAGUAAAAAUAUUAAAUUAGAAAAUGCCUCACUAAGGGUUAUAAAACCUUACUACGCUAGAGAUAGGUAAUUAUCCCCUCUGCAGCCUAAAUGACAGUUUAAAAGAAAUAAAAAUGUUCGUCCUCAUUACUUUUGUACGUUGUAAUACAGGGUGAGUUAAAUUUUAAUCCAAGGAAAAGUUCCUGCCAUAGACCCUCCCACCCCAGGUCCAAGGCCUGCUAAUUACUCUGUGGCCCGUGCUGUGUCAUUUCAGCGUUUAUACGUGUUCUACAGUGGACAUUGCCACUGGCCAUUGAGAGCAAGGGUAUGGAGAUGAGGCAGGGAGGCAGUUCAGACCUUAGGUCCUCAUCUUCUUGUGAUGUGAUAGGAGCAGUAGUCUGUAUUUGAAGCAAUGGCUCACCAAGUUCACUGUGCAGAGCCUUACAGGGACAGCACUGCAAUGCUCCAUGUGCACUGGAGGACUAGAGGGUCAGGGUGGCCGCCUCUGCUGCUUCACUUCUGGUAUCUUCUCCUUGCAACUCCCACAAGUUGUCCUCCGACCUCCACAUGUGACCAGGCAUGAACACACAAUAAUAAAACAAAUAAAUAAAAAUGCUGCCCCAGAACAUACCACAUGGCAGCUUAAAAUGAUGGUCUCCUGCAGGCUGGGCUCUGGCUCUGCACAGCAGUCAUUCACUGUGUCCAAGCUCCAGUGUGACUGGAGCCCUGGGGGGGUUUAGGGGCGGUGCUGCUCUAGGCAAGGAGGGCCCGGGGGAGGGGUUUUACUGGGUGUCUUGAGUGAAAGGCAUGGGAAGGGGAGGGGGGCACCCUGUCUUCCCUGUAAGGCUGUUCUAGCGGACGAACAGGCGGAGCAGAGGGCUGGAUUUGCUUGCAGAUGUUUACAUUGGAAUAAUCCUUUCUUCACUCAACCUGUCUCCCUCUCUAUUAUAUUUUAAGAACAGAGGUGACUCAAUUUCCCAGGUUACUUUGCUACAAGCAGCUGCGUAUGUUUGUCAGUUUUGCGCACUGAGUGUGAAAUGAUGUUCUUUUAAAAUACAGGUUCAACACUCACUCUGCUCCUGACAUGGAAACCCUCAGAGGACAGUAACUGCUGCCUUUGGCCAAUGCACUGUGCUGCCGUUGUGGAGCAGAGUGGAACCAUUUGCUUGGGGGCAGUGAUGGCUUUGUGCAGGCCAGCAGGGUGAGGCUAGGAAGAUUAAAGCAAUGCUGUGCCCUGCAUCUCUCCUCAGCCAGCAUCACCUUGAAGUCACGCUGUCCUUUUUUGUCAUGGCAGCUCUCUCCUUGUUUAAUUUUGUUAGUUGAGAUGGCUAAGGAGGCUGUGUUGGGAAUCUGGCUACAGUGUGAGGAGUGAAGCUGGGCUGGGCUGCUGGGGAUCCAGAGGGGCGGCCUGUGGUGUCCAUUUGCAUCUGGGGUGAGGCCUUCGGCUCUGUAAGGCUGGGCAGAUGCUUGGAGCUAGAGAACCAUGGGAAUGUGCGUGGGUCAGGGCUGGCAGUCUAGGGUAAGGCUUCCAGCAAAUUGUUGUGACUAUAAAAUGCCUGUGUAAAGCUAGAGUCCCUCUGCUGUUUUCUGACCAUAGUUUCUCUGCCUGUGCAUUGGCCUCACAGGACAGCAUUCUGGUUUUCCCCUGCUUGCCUGCCAUUGCUUUGACAUAUCCUGAGAGCUGGGGUUCCCAUGUUAGUGUCUCACUCCACAGCUACAGCAGGAUGAGUGCCGAAAAGCUGAGCCGCCCGCAGUCAUGGCAGAGGCUGGGAGGCCACCGAGGGUUAAAGCGACAUACAACCCUGUUAGAGCAAGACAAAUCAACAGUUGCAAAGAUGGCUUCUGUUGCAUCAGAGUGGCUGCUGGGAGUCCUCAGACAGCAAGAACACCUUCAGAAACCCAUUUCUUAACAUGAUAGCAGGCUAAGGGCUAGAUCUGAAGAUGUCAGUCUGUGCUGUUCCUUUGGGAUGUGGACAGAGCAGAUGUGGGCCCUUGCCUCAAGUGUGUCUCCUGAAUCUCAGGGACUCUCAUCUUGUGGGUCUGGCCUGUCUGAACUGUGAGCCACCUCCUCCUCCUCCUGCAAGGCAGCUCUGCUUCCCGCCCAUGGUUCUCCUGACAAGGCGGCUCCCCACCAACUCGCACCCUUUGCCAUUUCUUAGGCUGAGCUAAAUGUGUCCCACAGAUGUAACAGCAGUGUAAGCUGUAGUGAUUAUUUGCUGUAUUUCUAAAAAGAGACAUUUUAUUUUUACUUAGGGCAUGUGAGUUUAUGCCUGAGGACGGUGUCAGAUCCCUGGAGCUCGACUCACAGGGUUGUGAGCUGCCUGACAAGGGUGCAGGAAAACAAACCCUGGGCUUUUGGUUUUGUUUUGUUUUGAAGAGCAGCAGGUGCUCUUAACGCCCAAACCAUCUCUCCAGUCUCCAUCAUCGUGUUUUUAAUGUACACAUUCAGCUAUAGAGCUGGGCAUAGUGGUGCAUACGUGUAAUCCCAGCACUUGAAGAGCAGAGGCAGCAGGAUCCAGCAUAUGAAGCCAAUGUCAAAAAUAGUGAGACCUUAAAAUACAGUAGGGCGGGUGUGUGUGUGUAGGGGGGUGACCCAGCUGAUAAAGCUCUGCUGUACAAAAAGGGCUGUGUUUGACCUCUGCACUCGCAUUCAAAGCCAGGUAAGGGUACACACUCACAACCAGCACUGGGAGGUGGAGCCAGGAGGAUCCCUAGAGCGCAUUGGCCGGCCAGCCGCAGCCAGAGAGAAGCCCUGUCUCAGGACACAAAGUGGACAGUUCCUAAGAAAAGUCCCCCCCCCCCCCCACGACUCGCUUUACUUCAUUGCUGUGGUCUAUACAUCAUAUACUUAUGCACACGUAUGAAUCCAGGCUCAUAAGAGGUCUCAGGAGGAUGCCAGGCACCUUCUCUUGCUGAACCUAGAUAGAGUGCAUGGUUUUCUGGCCUGCCUGCCUAUCCAGCAAGCCUAGCCCCAGUGACCCUGUCUCCACUGCUGCCUACACUGAGGUUCCUGAGUGCAUGGGCUUGUCACACGGGCACUGCAUGUCUGAGCUCGGGGCUGUGUAGCAAGCAUAUUACCCAGUGAACCGUCUCCUCGGCCCAAUAAUGUUAAUUUUUAAAAUCCAACUUUAAAAAUAAAUUAGCCAAUUAAAUUAUUUCUUAGACUGAGAUUACAGCAAAGGGUGUGGGGGAGGGGAAGAGCCCUGGCUCUGCUCUGAAGCUCCGCACACAUGAUCGUAAUUGGGAUCUUGUUGCUGGGUCAUUUCCAUUGUUUUUCAAGUACUGCCAAGUCCCAGAAAUGUAUGAAAACUAAAUUAUAUCCCCUACAUCCCAUGUCUGAUUGAAUCCUCUCGUUGCUUGCCAGUCUCAUAUAUCCUAUUAAAAUAUUCAAUCUUGUUUUCUUACUUGAAGAGCCUGUCUGUAAAGGGCAAACUUAUAGAAAACUCAUUCCCUGGAGACAGGGUAUCCAGCCACACUGCACUAUUUACAUAUCUCACUCUGUGAUUGGCUGCUUCUGGGUUUCUUCUUUCCCUUGUAUUUGUGAAGAAGUGCUCCGAGAUGUGGUUCUUAAUUACAUGGCUGUGUUUUCAAUUGAAGAAACAGAUGAAGGUAUUUCCCAGCUUCUUGGUUCCUUUUUAACCUUGAAAAGUUAAGCAGCGUGUUAACCAGUUUGCUUUAUGUCCUAGGACGGAGUUGUUUCGAUCUCUUUUCGGCCAGCUCAACCCUCCUGAUGCAGACCGUGGGAAGUGACAGUAGCAUCCUCUCAGGCCCGACCUCAGCACAGGACCCACCUGCUGCCUCCAAUAAAAUGAUCAAAAACUACAAUAAACCUUUUUUUUUUUAAUCUGU